CGCGUAGGCGGUUUUUUAAGUCGGAUGUGAAAGCCCCGGGCUCAACCUGGGAACUGCAUUCGAUACUGGGAGACUUGAGUACGAGAGAGGGAGGUAGAAUUCCACGUGUAGCGGUGAAAUGCGUAGAUAUGUGGAGGAAUACCAGUGGCGAAGGCGGCCUCCUGGCUCGAUACUGACGCUGAGGUGCGAAAGCGUGGGGAGCAAACG
rnacentral:rRNA from 1 species